rnacentral:rRNA from 1 species
UACAGAGGGUGCAAGCGUUAAUCGGAUUUACUGGGCGUAAAGCGCGUGUAGGUGGCCAAUUAAGUCAAAUGUGAAAUCCCCGAGCUUAACUUGGGAAUUGCAUUCGAUACUGGUUGGCUAGAGUAUGGGAGAGGAUGGUAGAAUUCCAGGUGUAGCGGUGAAAUGCGUAGAGAUCUGGAGGAAUACCGAUGGCGAAGGCAGCCAUCUGGCCUAAUACUGACACUGAGGUGCGAAAGCAUGGGGAGCAAACAGG